CUGAAAUACAGCCUGGCCAGGUGCCCAGCUUUGUUCUCUGGGAGAGUUUUGCUCAGUAUGGUGCUCUUUUUCCUUCUUCAUCUGAUGUCCUUCCUCCAGGUGUUCCGGUUUGCUGCAUUAUCUGUGGAUGCUCCCAUGGCUCCAAUUUUGUCCCUGGAUCCUCAGCAACAGGUCUACAUAUCUGGGGACUAUGUCAAGCUGCUCUGCUCUGUCCCCUCAUCUCCAGACUAUGUUAGAGAAAUCCAGUACUACGGGGACUUUGGACUUGCAAUCUCUAUCCCAGUAUCAAACAUUAAAAACUACAGUUACAAUCUCAGGAUCACAGGAGAGGAGGUCUCUGGGUCUUACAGUUGUGCCUAUUUUGUAUUUUGGUCUAGACGUGCUGUUCGCUCAGAGAAGAGUCGCUGGGUCCAUGUCUAUGUGAAAAGCAAGAAAAUCAGCUGGAUCCGAGAGAUUGUUGUGGGUGGCUCAUUCUUUACCAUCAAUGGCCUCAUCUUUUUCUUCUCCCACUGUCUGAUGAAGAGAAGAGAUCUGGAGGAGAGAUUCAGGAUGGAAUAACAAUAUGAAGAGAAGAAACAUCCCCAAAGGUUUUUUUUACCCUGUUUAGAAAAGGCAAUCCAUGCCCUAGGACCUUGCCUCAUUCCAUGUUGCCUGCAUCAGCGUCCCCAAAAGGCAAGAGUGAUGAAUGCUGAGCUGAAAUUACUUGGCCUGCUUCUCUCCUCUGUGCUUUCAAACCUGUCUCACGUUUCUCUGAUUAAAGCUGGGUGUUGUGUCUUUGCGGUGUGGGUUUCAUCAAAAGAUGCAUCUUCCUAUCCUCCAUCCUGGAGAGUGUGUUCGUGUGUGUUCGUGUGUGUGUGUUCGUGUGCGUGUGUUUGUGCGUGUGUGUGUGUGUGCAUCUGCUCCACCGCACAUGUAACUCUACAAUGUUAUCAUUAAAUCUGGUUCUUACUUUCACCUGAAA
ensembl:lncRNA